AUUGAACGCUGGCGGAAUGCUUUACACAUGCAAGUCGAACGGCAGCACGGGAGCUUGCUCCUGGUGGCGAGUGGCGAACGGGUGAGUAAUACAUAGGAACAUACCCAGUAAUGGGGGAUAACGCCGAGAAAUCGGUGCUAAUACCGCAUACGCCCUACGGGGGAAAGCGGGGGAUCUUCGGACCUCGCGUUAUUGGAUUGGCCUAUGUCUGAUUAGCUAGUUGGUGAGGUAAAGGCUCACCAAGGCUUCGAUCAGUAGCUGGUCUGAGAGGAUGAUCAGCCACACUGGAACUGAGACACGGUCCAGACUCCUACGGGAGGCAG
rnacentral:rRNA from 1 species